rnacentral:rRNA from 1 species
UACGUAGGUGGCAAGCGUUGUCCGGAUUUACUGGGCGUAAAGAGCGCGUAGGCGGCCCUUCUUGUCGCGUGUGAAAGCCCCGGGCUCAACCUGGGAAUGGCGCGCGAGACGGGGGGGCUGGAGUUCGGGAGAGGAGCGUGGAAUUCCCAGUGUAGAGGUGAAAUUCGUAGAUAUUGGGAAGAACACCAGUGGCGAAGGCGGCGCUCUGGACCGAGACUGACGCUGAGGCGCGAAAGCGUGGGGAGCAAACAGG